rnacentral:misc_RNA from 1 species
GAUGAAGAACGUAGCGAAAUGCGAUAAGUAAUGUGAAUUGCAGAAUUCAGUGAAUCAUCGAAUCUUUGAACGCACCUUGCGCCCUUUGGCUAUUCCGAAGGGCAUGCCUGUUUGAGUAUCAUGAACACCUCAACUCUUCACGGCUUGCCGUGAUGAGUUUGGACUUUGGGGGUCUUGCUGGCCUACGAGCCAGCUCCUCUCAAAUGUAUUAGCUUGCCGGUGUUUGGUGGCAUCACAGGUGUGAUAACUAUCUACGCUUGUGGUUUUCCACUAGGUAACCUUCAGCAAUGGAGGUUCACCGGAGCUCACAAAUGUCUCUCCUUGCCAAGGACAUAUUUUGACCAUUUGAUCUCAAAUCAGGUAGGACUACCCGCUGAACUUAAGCAUAUCAAUAAGCGGAGGA